CAUUACGCCAGCAUCCUAGCCGAAGCGCGGACCUCAGUCCCGGCUGGCCGUAUUACACCCUGGGCUAUAACACCUCCACCGAAGUGGAGGCCACAUUCCCAGAGCCUUUAUCCGGCCGCCGAAACUGAUGCUGGCCUGUCCAAACUGAGUAAACCGGUCAGAAGACCGGCCGAACAGUUUAAACAAGUCUGAUUGCAAGCGCUUCCCUUUCAACAAUUUCACGUGCUUUUUAACUCUCUUUCCAAAGUGCUUUUCAUCUUUCGAUCACUCUACUUGUGCGCUAUCGGUCUCUCGCCAAUAUUUAGCUUUAGAAGAAAUUUACCUCCCAUUUAGAGCUGCAUUCCCAAACAACUCGACUCGUCGAAGGAGAUUUACAUAGGGUGCCAUUUCCUGUCACAUACGGGAUUCUCACCCUCUAUGACGUCCUGUUCCAAGGAACUUAGACAGGCGGCUUCCCCAAAUCAUCCUCUACAAAUUACAAUGCGAACCCGAAGGCUAGCUUUCAAAUUUGAGCUGUUGCCGCUUCACUCGCCGUUACUAG
rnacentral:rRNA from 1 species